rnacentral:lncRNA from 1 species
CUGAGCUCGGCCUUCUCUUUCUCGAGCUGGGCGUUCUCGCAGCACAUGUCACUGCAGCCCCUCAUUGCUUGGUUCAGGUCGUCAAGGAGGCGGCGGUUGGCGCCACGGAGGUGAACGACCUGCGCCCACAGCUCAGUGAGCUGCCGCUGCUUGCGCAUGCGCGACCGCCUGGCGGACUCCCGGUUGGAGACCAUCCUCCGCCGCCUCCGCUCAUCCUCUGCCAUCACCAUGCGGCCGCCGUAUGCAUCCUCGGCACUGCCAGAGCCGGCUGGACUGUUGCUGACGACAGCCGGUGCUUCGUGGAUAGGUUCAAAGGUAGAAGGCGAGAAGUGGAAGGGAGUGGGCGGCAUCGCGAUCAUGUUGCUGUGGCAGUGAGCGUGGAAUGCUGGGUUUGGAGAUGAGAGGCAGUGAAGGUUGGCCAUGGCCACUGCUCCAUGGUAAUGG